UGAAAUGGACAUGUGAAACCUAACCAAAAC
rnacentral:piRNA from 1 species